rnacentral:rRNA from 1 species
UACAGAGGUCUCAAGCGUUGUUCGGAUUCAUUGGGCGUAAAGGGUGCGUAGGCGGCGCGGUAAGUCGGGUGUGAAAUCUCGGGGCUUAACUCCGAAACUGCAUUCGAUACUGCCGUGCUUGAGGACUGGAGAGGAGACUGGAAUUUACGGUGUAGCGGUGAAAUGCGUAGAGUAUCGUAAGGAAGACCAGUGGCGAAGGCGGGUCUCUGGGACGGUACUGACGCUGAGACGCGAAAGCGUGGGGAGCGAACAGG